AAAGCCAAUUCGUGUGGAUUGGACACUUCAAAGAAAGCCUAGCUCCCGCUGAGAAAAGAGAGAGAGAGAAGAGAGGGUUGGUGGAAGAAGAGAACAAAAACUCAAGGGCGUAGAGAGAGAGAAAGCUGUGGCCGGCCUUUGCGUGGGGAGAGAGACAGGCAGGGGGAGGGAAGCCAUUGCAGUUGCAGAGGGAGGAGGAACGAGUGGGAGAGGAAAAGUAGGAGGAGGAGGAGGAGGAGGAGCAUGGAUGAGAGAGUGGAGGUUGAGCAGCAGGAGCGGGCAGCGAGGACUGCCAAAAGGAGAUUUGGCGCCGUGGGCCCGCCUCCCUCCAGCUGAGGAGGAAGCGGCGAGGGAGGAGAGGAGGGGAGGGGAGGAGGGAGGAUCUCCUCUCACGUCAAAGAGUAGGAGAGAAAGCAUAAAGGGUGGAGGAGAGGGGGAAGGGGGAGAGCUUCCAGUCCGCACAAAGCGAGAAAAAGCUUCAUCAGUCAGAAAGAGAGAAAGCGAGUAGGAAAGAAGGCUUCAGAGGAAGAGCAAGGCAUCCAGUGAGUGUGCUGUGUGAGUGAUAAAUAGCGGCUGCAAGCCGAGAGCAUCCGGUGCUCUUGCCACCACCGGGCCAUUGCCUUCUUUUGCUCUCCUCCAUUGUAGUUGUGUAGUUCUGUAGUAGCAGGUGCUGUGUUCAAGUUUGGUGCGUGGUGAUGGCAUUGCAAGAGCAGGACGAGGAGGGCGGCGAUGAUGGCGAGGAAGAAGUUGAGGAGGAGGGGAUGAUGAGGGCGUGGGAGAGCUGACGAUCUCUCCUCGUCCCGAGGUGUGCUGUCCACUUGUUGAGUAGUAAGAUAUUGGCACAAUAGGCUCAAUCACGUUUUUCUUUUGCUCUUUUACUCUUGGUUUGCUGUGCUUGCUCUUUUCUUCUUCGUCUAAUGCACCAUUACAUACUCCCUUCUCGUGUAAUUUCAUUCCGGUUUGUUUGUUGUUCCUGGUGCCUUCCCAUGUUUAGAAUGGAAGGCGACGAUUGGCAAA